rnacentral:miRNA from 1 species
UGAACCAAGCUGGGCUGGGCUGGGCUGAGCCAGGCUGGAUUGAGCUGGGC